UGGUUUAAUUCGAUGCAACGCGAAGAACCUUACCAGGGUUUGACAUGCUUAAAGUAGGAACUCGAAAGAGGGACGACCUGUAUCCAGUCAGGAGUUUGCACAGGUGCUGCAUGGCUGUCGUCAGCUCGUGCCGUGAGGUGUUAGGUUAAGUCCUGCAACGAGCGCAACCCUCGUCGCUAGUUGUUUUCUCUAGCGAUACUGCCCGUAUAACGUGGAGGAAGGUGGGGAUGACGUCAAGUCAGCAUGGCCCUUACAUCCUGGGCUACACACACGCUACAAUGGGUGAUACAACAGGUUGCAAUAGAGUAAUCUGGAGCCAAUCCCUAAAAUCAUCCUCAGUACGGAUUGCAGGCUGCAACUGCCUGCAUGAAGUUGGAGUUGCUAGUAAACGCAGGUCAGCACACUGCGUUGAAUACGCUCUCGGGCCUU
rnacentral:rRNA from 1 species